UACGUAGGUGGCAAGCGUUGUCCGGAAUUAUUGGGCGUAAAGCGCGCGCAGGCGGUCCUUUAAGUCUGAUGUGAAAGCCCACGGCUCAACCGUGGAAGGUCAUUGGAAACUGGAGGACUUGAGUACAGAAGAAGAAAGCGGAAUUCCACGUGUAGCGGUGAAAUGCGUAGAGAUGUGGAGGAACACCAGUGGCGAAGGCGGCUUUCUGGUCUGUAACUGACGCUGAGGCGCGAAAGCGUGGGGAGCAAACAGG
rnacentral:rRNA from 1 species